rnacentral:misc_RNA from 1 species
AACGGUCUAUACCUGCGGUACCUGCGGAGGGAUCAUUGACAAAUCUUUUUUAAAAAUGAAAUAUGAUGAAUUUUUGUAAAUAUUAUUUUAUAAGAAUUUAUCAUAUUAUACAUUUACUCGGAGCCAAAAUUCUUGGCUCUGAGGGUAAGAUAAUAAUAAUAUUAUUAUUUUAUCCUUGAGUUGUUGAAGUGAAAUAUAUUCAAUGACACAAAUAUAAAUUCGUUUGUAUUUUGUUUGACA